CGGCGGACGGGUGAGUAACGCGUGGGUAACCUGCCUCAUACAGGGGGAUAACAGUUAGAAAUGACUGCUAAUACCGCAUAAGCGCACAGUACCACAUGGUACGGUGUGAAAAACUCCGGUGGUAUGAGAUGGACCCGCGUCUGAUUAGCUGGCUGGUGGGGUAACGGCCCACCAAGGCGACGACCAGUAGCCGACCUGAGAGGGUGACCGGCCACAUUGGGACUGAGACACGGCCCAA
rnacentral:rRNA from 1 species